AACUCUCGAUAAUGGAUAUAUUUGUCUCUUGUUAUGUUGAAUGCUAUAGAAAAAUGCGAUAGUUGGUGAAUUAAAAAAUAUCGUGAAUCAUGAGUUCUUGAAUGAAACUUUCACUUGAGGCCUUAACCAAGGGCACAUCUAUCUCGGCGUCA
rnacentral:rRNA from 1 species